rnacentral:rRNA from 1 species
GAAUCUUGGACAAUGGGCGAAAGCCUGAUCCAGCGACGCCGCGUGGGUGAAGAAGGCCUGCGGGUUGUAAAGCCCUUUCGGUGGGGAAGAAAAGCCUCGAGCUAAUACCUCGGGGUCUUGACGUAACCCACAGAAGAAGCACCGGCUAACUCUGUGCCAGCAGCCGCGGUAAUACAGAGGGUGCGAGCGUUAAUCGGAAUUACUGGGCGUAAAGCGCGCGUAGGCGGCUUUGCAAGCCGGAUGUGAAAUCCCCGGGCUUAACCUGGGAACUGCAUUCGGGACUGCAUUGCUAGAGUAUGGGAGAGGGAAGUGGAAUUUCCGGUGUAGCGGUGAAAUGCGUAGAUAUCGGAAGGAACAUCAGUGGCGAAAGCGACUUCCUGGACCAAUACUGACGCUCAUGUGCGAAAGCGUGGGGAGCAAACAG